AACUAAAUAUACGGAAAGGUGUUGACUGGAGAGCUGCACCGCCUUUUAGCAAGGAAAGGGUACUUGAUGUAUGUGCUGCUGCUGCUGUACAUAAACCGCCGACGACAAGUACGGCAAACACCGAGCCGGGCCUCACCUAGGAAUCGAGGGAGCCGUCGUGGCCACGCCUAUUACGGCACGGCACAGUGGGCUUACUCGUAGUCCCUCCACCCCACCCAGACUGAGGCCUUCCUUCAUGUGAUCCCUAGCCAGCUCCUCUGUCACACCGCAUCCUCCACCACAACCUGCAGUACCACCACCACGACCACUUUAAGACUGUCAUCCACACCAUUUGGCUUUGAAGGUGUGGCGGCGAUGUCUUUUACGUGGACUGAUACGAGAAUCACGUGUGCCUUCAGAAGUCAGCGUGGGAGCAGCCGGCACCACCAUCGCCACCACCACCACCACCGCCACCACCACCAUCACCACCAGUACUUCUACUACCACUACCACCACGCGUUCCUCCUCACUUAGACAAACUGGCACGAGCUAGACCAUGGGCUGCUUGAUGUGGAGGGCUAAGGGUUUGUAUUCCUAAACAUUUCUCCACUUUUUUCUCAGCAACUUCAAACACGUUCAUAUUGUAAGUUAUUGCGGUUUUCAAGGGUGUUUUCGUGAUUGUUGUGAUAGUUUUAAAGGCUUUCAUAUCAUCACUGGAGAAAACACCCAUGAGAGCUUGACUGAUCUCUGUAACCUUUGAAUAUAGUCUUGAUGGGAGCCAGGAAUGUUUGGAAAUGCGAGCCAAGGUGACAGCGAGGACAGGUUGUGGAGGGCGAGCACUCAGAGACUAUGUAAAGUAUGCUGGCCUUAGUGUGAGUUACAGGUAAUACACACGUGGGUUAUAGCAAGAGUCGCAAUGAAUGAACUUUCAGGAAACCCACGAUCGGAAUUAAUUGCAUGCCUGUCUUUAUGUCAACUAAUAUUAAAGUUCUACGCUGGUAAUUUUUGCCUAAAAGACCUAACCGAUUCUUAGCUAUAUGUCGUGUUUAUCAUCUUAGGGCUUCACAGGUAUUCUUGGACU